UUUUGAAGUUUAAAUUUUUUCGAUUGAAUCAUUUUGGAACAAACGUACCGUGGUGGGCGGGUGCUUCUCUAUUGGUCAGACAUGUUUGAUUGACAAGUGUCUACACCAACGACGUCUUUCUGACAAAGAAGUCUUGUUCGGCACUCCCCAGGCCAGACAGCUUUUUACCAGCAAGAGGGAACAGCGGUGAAGUUGUCGCAUUGGAAGCAAAGUUGUACUACUUUGUAGCAAAAAUUAUUACAGUCUGUGUUGUCCGUGGAGGAGUUGCCCACCAUUUUUUCUCAGAAGGGCUGUUUCAGCAAUUUGCGGGCUUCCAAAGGCCCCUUUCAGACCAGAAGUUCUGCAUGAUCACAAACUCCGGGAGCAGCUAAUCAAGGUUUGCAGAGGGCUUCAAGAUUCUGGGGCUACUGAAAGAGCUGCAGAAAAACCCAGCCGUUGUUCCUGACAUGUCCGUGUGUGAGGAGAAAGCCCUCACUGCCAGGGACAUGAGCCACAGUGGCCUAUUCUGCUCAGGGCAGCAAUCAGCGCGUUCUGGAGAACCAAUUGGUCUGCUUUAGGAGUGACUGGCUGAUUGACAUUAAAGAAGAGGAGGAUGGUCCACCCUCUCUCUCGAUGUUCACCUCUGGAGCCUCUGCCAUCCCUCCACUUGGCUUUUCCUGCCAGCCUGAAAUCCAGUUUCUGCAUGACACCAAGACAAUUUACCCAGAAGCCAAUACUAGUGUUGUUGUCCUGUUGUAUCUGUCGCUGCACUCCUCCUACAAGGCUGUUAGAAUAUACAUGAUGGAGGGAAUUUUGCAAGCUCCGACCUUUGGAGUUUCUUAAAUGAUCACGAAUGUGACUAUGAAAGGUUACGCUGUAAGGUGAUGACGGGUUUGCAUGUUUGUCCAGCUGUUGUUAAUGUUUUACUUAAUUUUAAGAUAAAACGUGGUUUUACAAGUCUGAAAAGUGUACCAGUGUUUAAAAAAUACUGUUCAUAUGUUUUUUACUAAAAGCCUUUAGCUGGUCCUGAGGAUAAAAUAUCAGAAGACUGUGCCAGAUGAUUCAGGUUCUGUCAUUAAACUUCUGAAAUGGU